UCCUUGAGGGGCCGCCCACCUAAAAUGUGACGUAGGCAACAAGCUGGCAUGCCGCUUUCAGUAACGGCUCUUAUGAUUCUGUCAGCCCUGGAUUGAGACCAGGGCCUGCAACUACCUCAACGUCGUCGUCUCGCCAGCCCCAACUUGGCGACGCUAUCAAUAAAUAGAGAAAACCCUAAAUUGCUCUCUACAUAAUUCUCUGUUCUGUGUCUCCUUCCCUCUGAGAACGUUGUUCAUUCCUCUUCCUAAAAUGGUUUCUCUUUCUUCUCUGUCUUUUAUGAUAUUGAAUUAAGCGAAUCUAUUUUAGGAAGGGAACGAACACCGUCGCCAGAUUGAUUAUCUAAUUUCAACGUACUUAAAUUUAUUCAACUAUUUCUUGCUAUGACAAAAUUUCUCUCUAACAGUGCUAAGGAACGUCAACGGAGCUUCAGAUUUGACUUUACAACCAUCUGAAGGUUUUAAUGAAGCUCCUAAGCACAAUACUUGAGAGGCAUGGUAUUUCGGUAGAUCAUCAUAUAUUUAUCCAUUAAAAAAUUGCAUGCCCUGGUUUCCUUUGAAGUUUGUGAAUAUUACGGAACUCCUCAAGCAUCUUCUAUGUAAUUGUCGUGAUAUGUAUUCUGCCUAGAACAAGUAGUUAAUGAGAUGUUAAAUCACGGCAUAUGAAUGCAUUAUUCUACGAUUACUAAUGAGUUGACCUAGAACCCAACAGAUUCCAUGUGCUAGAUAUAUUCCUCCAUACCACCUAAUAAAAUUUAAACUUGAAAAUUUGUGAUA